rnacentral:ncRNA from 22 species
CAAAUUGAGGGGAACGAUGAGGUACACACUUUAAUUUGGGCAUCCUUGUGUGUAUUGGAGUUAGUGAUGCAACCGACCCUGUAUUCA